rnacentral:misc_RNA from 1 species
UGAUUCUGAUGAUAAUGAUUAUGACCCUGAUGGACCAGAAAUUGAUGAGAAGAGUCAGGGAGAUGAAUCAAGCUCUGAUGAAUCUGACUUCACUUCUGUGUCUGAUGAAUUAGAGGCUUCACCUGGUGAUAAGCAGAACUUGGGGCUUCCCUCUGAUGAUUCAGAAGAUGAUGACUAUGAUCCUGAUUGUCCAGAUCUUGAUGAGAAUGUGAAGGAGGAGAGUUCAAGUUCUGAUUUUACAUCUGACUCUGACGAUCUUGCUACUAGUCUUCAUAAUAAAGAAUUGUCUGGAGAACAUGAAAACCGUGUGUCUAUUGGCCCCCAAGGAGAUAUUAUUAGAGAAGGAUCUAAACAUAGUGGAAAAAAGAAGCAAUACAGUGAGCUGUUAUCCAUAUUAGAG